GCUGGGUGUGGUGGCUCACGCCUGUAAUCCUAACACUUUGGGAGGCAGAGGUGGGUGGAUCACCUGAGGUCAGGAAUUCAGACUAGCCUUACCAACAUGGUGAAAUCCCAUCUCUU
ensembl:misc_RNA Metazoa_SRP Metazoan signal recognition particle RNA